AGUGAACGCUGGCGGUAGGCCUAACACAUGCAAGUCGAACGGCAGCACAGUAAGAGCUUGCUCUUACGGGUGGCGAGUGGCGGACGGGUGCGGAAUACAUCGGAAUCUACUUUUUCGUGGGGGAUAACGUAGGGAAACUUACGCUAAUACCGCAUACGACCUACGGGUGAAAGCAGGGGAUCUUCGGACCUUGCGCGAGUGUAUGAGCCGAUGUCGGAUUAGCUAGUUGGCGGGGUAAAGGCCCACCAAGGCGACGAUCCGUAGCUGGUCUGAGAGGAUGAUCAGCCACACUGGAACUGAGACACGGUCCAGACUCCUACGGGAGGCAGCAGUGGGGAAUAUUGGACAAUGGGCGCAAGCCUGAUCCAGCCAUACCGCGUGGGUGAAGAAGGCCUUCGGGUUGUAAAGCCCUUUUGUUGGGAAAGAAAAGCAGCAGGUUAAUACCCCGCUGUUCUGACGGUACCCAAAGAAUAAGCACCGGCUAACUUCGUG
rnacentral:rRNA from 1 species